UACGUAGGGGGCAAGCGUUGUCCGGAAUCAUUGGGCGUAAAGCGCGCGUAGGCGGUCAGGUAAGUCCGGUGUGAAAGUCAAAGGCUCAACCUUUGGAAUGCCGCUGGAUACUGCCUGACUUGAGUCCGGAAGGGGCGAGUGGAAUUCCUGGUGUAGCGGUGAAAUGCGCAGAUAUCAGGAGGAACACCAAUGGCGAAGGCAGCUCGCUGGAACGGUAACUGACGCUGGAGGCGCGAAAGCGUGGGGAGCGAACAGG
rnacentral:rRNA from 1 species